rnacentral:rRNA from 1 species
AUGGACCGAAGGUCACGGCAGCCCUCGGAGAUGGCGGUGAGCCCGACCUCCGACACCAGCUCGUCGGCAUCCUCGUGCGCGUCCAAUGGGAGCACGCGGAGAACCUGGAGCUUCUUGCAGCACAUCGCCACGGCUUGGAGCCCCUCGUCGCGCACUGAGUCGAGCACCUGGCAAAGAACUUGUCAUCAGAAAUUGGGAACCAUGGAGCAGCCCAGAGGUAAAACUAUGGCGAGAAAGCAAUCUGGUAGUACCCAUAGCGUCUCAAGGCUGCGGCAUUGCCCGAUGAAGAGCAGGACCUGGUCGGGGUUGACAGGGGCGUAG